GUUCCUUUUGCUAUUCAUUUUCUUUUCUCAGUUGGCUGUUUAGGAAUGAGUGAAUUCUUUUAUGAAACACUUGUUAUGUAAGGUAUUUUUCUUAGGAUUAGGGAAUUUAUUAGGCUUAUUUAGUUAAAUAUUAUCUUUGAAAUGGCAAACUACAUUCAAUGGGAAGAAAAUUCACGAGCUUGUGUUAACAUAGCGAUUUUUUUGAUGUGUGUGGCUAUCAGCAAAAAGCACAUGCAUUGCUAUGUCCAUUGUCCACUUUAUCUGUCGCCCAUGUUUCUUACUCCUUUUUGGUUUUCUAUCACUUUCCCUCUCUUGUUUGCUAAGAAAAGAGAAAAAAAGACAAUUUUAAAGGACUCCAAAGGUGUGCUAUCCUACGCAGAAAAGGGAGUCACAUUCAGUAAGUGUCUGUAUUCCAGGCCCUAUAAGGAUGUGGAACACAUAGUAAGUGUGUUUACUUAGGGUUUGUUUGGCAUUACUGCUAUGGCUAUUGUUGGGGAAAACACUUUUUUUAAAUAUAUUAGUUAGAAAGUAUUAAAUAUUGAUGAAAAAUUAAAUUUGAUAUGUUCUAGCCAUAAUAAUACUAAAAUAACAAAAUAGUUU
rnacentral:misc_RNA from 1 species